GAGGGAAACAACCUGUGAGAGAGUAGACUAGGAUAUAUAUGUGCUGAAGAAUACAUCCCUGGCUCUAAAACAUUUAUGAUUCCAAACAGGGUGUGUGCUUUUGUUUGUGAUAUGGGAGGGACGUCUAGGUAUAGGGAAUAAGAAUUGAGCUCAAGCAUUUUUGAGGAUAAGAUAGCACCCACUCUGAGGAAAUAGAAUACCAAACACUAAUGCUGACAUUUUUACUCUUUCUGGCAAACAUCUGUGAAUUACUUUAAUAAGUCAGGCACUGGUGUGGGGCUACACAUAAGAAGUGGGUCAUAGGUAGGAAGAGUUUGGGGAGUGGUGUGGGGAAAACAUGUCACAGGACAUGGUGGCUGGAAACAACCUCUGUCUCUAAAAGAGAUUACACAGAGAGAAGAGUAGGUGAGUGGUAGACGGUUCUCCACAACUUACUAGACUUCAGAGAUGCAGUUUCAGGACAAGAGGAGCAACUGACACAGUAAUUUCCUGUGGCUAGAUUCUGUGGUCCAUCAAAAUGAAACCAGGUUGUCUGGACAAGUGGCUUGAAAUAUCGAUGCAUGGAGGAAGAAAUGCCUAAUGAGAGCCUGAUAUUUUUCAUCCUCCCAAGGACUCCUGGGAUCGCAAGUAAGACUCAGGUGUUUGUUCACAGCAGUGACGAAUCUAACUACCAUGGUUCUUACGUGCGAGAAGUGAUGGGUCUUAGUAAGGAAAGAAAGAGUUUAUUGGAAGUGUAUUUAGGGUGCCAUUGGCUGUGAAUCCGGCCAUUUCAGAGAGUAAACAGAACCACAUAAUACAGAGAGGCACAAACACA